UCGACAACCAAACCACUCCCCGGUCUUGACUGCUCAUGGAUAUGCAUGUCAGUGGUAAUUUCUGUCUGCGGUUCGGCGAUAAAGAGCUCUUGUCAGUCCAGGUGAAAACAUCGACAGAGGAAAUAAGGAUUUGUGUCUUUAAAUAAAUUUAGGUGAAUCGUAUUUAAAAGUGCAACCCUUUUAAAAAAAGAGGUUUAGAAUAGAAAAUGAGGCAGACUUACAUUACAGAAGAGGGGAGGGAAGAAUCGCUACCGGAACUCUGUGGAUUCCCACGAUGCACCGUUUCGACGGGGACGGAAGAAAAGGCAGAGUUGACUAUCUUGUCUAUGUAGAAGAUUUUUGACACAGGGUCGUGUUAUUUCCCCCCCCAAAACAGCGUCAGAUUAAAAAAUAAAUAAAAAAAACGGUAGGCCUAACAAUCCAUCGUAAAUUUUAAAAAAAAAGAGACAUUCCAAGUUUUUUUAUUUAAAUGUUUCUGCAGCGUGGACGAUAAAAAAAAAAAAAAAAAAAAAAAAAUGCAUUUUUAAUUGAAGUUAGUUGUUUGCGACGCACGGGUGUGACAGACCCUUUGUCAAAUGGACAAAUACGCUAAAAGGCACCUGGGAAAUCAGUCGAAAAUAAGAUGCACGUCUUCAUCCUGGAGCUGCCACGAGCUGCCUUAUUUGCUUGAGACAAACUGAAAGCAUUUUCUUACAGCCAACUGAAGUCCACAUAGCAACCAUUUCCAAAGUUUUACAAAGGCAAAGGGGUAUCACUAGACAAAGACAAGUGGGCAUUUAUAAAACAGCAGGAAACAGAUUCAAAGUUUUGCAAGUUAUUGGCUGUUGCAAUUUGGGGGUCACUUGCACUGAAAGACAGAAAUGUCACUGGAGGAAAAUGGAAUGCAAAAGACAAUAAAACCAGAAAGUUGAUGCUAUCAAAGGUAUGUGUUGAUAAAAAAAAAAAAAAAAAAAAAAAAAAGAAAAUCAGAUUUGCAAACAUUUCAUGUUUUCACCACAACAAAAUAGACGGUAGGGUUUAUACACGGUGUAUAUUAUGAAAUGGUAUUUUAAUGCAUUUUUUUCUUUUGAAUUUUUUUUAAUAACUUUUUUUCUAAAUCUUAAGGACUGAAUCAACUCUAACUUUAC